ACGGCGGGAAGGCCGCAAGGGGCGGGGCGUGGAGCGUCGCCCGUGGGGCGGUGCCGGCCGCCAUUUUGUAGCGGGGAAGGGGUGGGUCGGGGGCAGCCGUCCGCCUCUCCCGCCUCAUAAAAGGACGUGGCUGCGGCUCCUCGGUGCGUUUUAGGGGUCGUUUUUGUGUGGUGGUCGGUGUGAUGCCGCCCGUGUGUGGCCCGGCGACCCUGUUAACGGAGCUUAUGUAGGAAAUCCUUGGUCAACAGCCAGCAAAGCGAGGAGUGCAAAAUCCCCGGGCUCUUGUUGCCUCCAAGAUGGGAAAUUGCCUGCAUAUAAAAUCAAUUAAAAAUAAUUUUGCACAUUAA